rnacentral:rRNA from 1 species
UGACUGUAGGUGAAAGACUUACAUCUCUUCGGAGCAUUUUACGAGGUGCUGCAUGGUUGUCGUCAGCUCGUGCCGUGAGGUGUCGGGUUAAGUCCCAUAACGAGCGCAACCCCUACCUUUAGUUGCCAUCAGGUUAAGCUGGGGACUCUAAAGGAACUGCCUACGCAAGUAGUGAGGAAGGCGGGGAUGACGUCAAAUCAGCACGGCCCUUACGUCCAGGGCUACACACGUGCUACAAUGGCCGAUACAGAGGGCAGCUACCUGGUGACAGGAUGCAAAUCUCCAAAGUCGGUCUCAGUUCGGAUCGGAGUCUGCAACCCGACUCCGUGAAGUUGGAUUCGCUAGUAAUCGCGCAUCAGCCAUGGCGCGGUGAAUACGUUCCCGGGCCUU